rnacentral:rRNA from 1 species
AGUGAACGCUGGCGGUAGGCCUAACACAUGCAAGUCGAACGAACACACAAUAAGCGCGUGCUCUUACGGGUGGCGAGUGGCGGACGGGUAACACAUACAUCGGAAUCUACUUUUUCUUGGGUGAUAACGUAAGAAAACUUCUGCUAACACCGCAUACGACCAACCGCAGAAAUCAGUAGUUCUUCGGACCUUGCGCGAUACUAUGAGACGAUGUCGGAUUAGCUAGUUGGCGGGGUAAAGGAACACCAAGGCGACGAUGCGUAGCUGGUCUGAGAGGAUGAUCAGCCACACUGGAACUGAGACACGGUCCAGACUCCUACGGGAGGCAGCAGUAGGGAAUAUUGGACAAUGGGCGCAAGCCUGAUCGAGCCAUACCGCGUGAGUGAAGAAGGCCUUCGGGUUGUAAAGCUCUUUUGUUAGGGAAGAAAAGCAGUAGGAGUAUAUCCCCCUGUUUUGACGGUACCCAAAGAAUAAGCACCGGCUAACUUCGUG